rnacentral:rRNA from 1 species
AGCCUUUAGCUAAACAAGUAUUAAAGGUCCUGCCUGCCCAGUGAUUAUUUAAACGGCCGCGGUAUUCUAACCGUGCAAAGGUAGCGCAAUCACUUGUCUUUUAAAUAAAGACCUGUAUGAACGGCUAAAUGAGGAUAAACCUGUCUCUUAUAACCAAUCAGUGAAACUGAUCUUCCAGUACAAAAGCUGGAAUAACCACAUAAGACGAGAAGACCCUGUGGAGCUUAAAACAAACCGCUAAACAGACACCCAGCUGCUCUAGCACGCGUUUUUAGUUGGGGCGACUUCGGAAUAAAAAAUAACUUCCGAGCACAGAGCUACAACCUCUAACCGAGGCUAACAAGCCAAAGCACAAAAAUCGACCCGGCCUUGCCGAUCAACGAACCAAGUUACCCCAGGGAUAACAGCGCAAUCUUCUUCGAGAGCCCCUAUCAACAAGAAGGUUUACGACCUCGAUGUUGGAUCAGGACACCCAAAUGGUGCAGCCGCUAUUAAAGGUUCGUUUGUUCAACGAUUAAUAGUCCUACGUGAUCUGAGUUCAGACCGGAG